GGCCUUGUGGUCUAGUGGUAUGAUUCUCGCUUAGGGUGCGAGAGGUCCCGGAUUCGAUCUUUGGCAAGGCCC
rnacentral:tRNA from 1 species